rnacentral:rRNA from 1 species
UACGUAGGGGGCAAGCGUUGUCCGGAAUCAUUGGGCGUAAAGCGCGUGUAGGCGGUCCGGUAAGUCCGCUGUGAAAGUCGGGGGCUCAACCCUCGGAUGCCGGUGGAUACUGUCGGGCUUGAGUACGGAAGAGGCGAGUGGAAUUCCUGGUGUAGCGGUGGAAUGCGCAGAUAUCAGGAGGAACACCAAUAGCGAAGGCAGCUCGCUGGGACGGUAUUGACGCUAAGGCGCGAAAGCGUGGGGAGCAAACAGG